UUUACUUUGUUAAAAAAAAAAAAAUGAAGCUCCGCUCUAUUUUGAUCUCAGCGUUCUUGUUUUUACUCGCACAUGGUGUUUUUAGUGUUGGCACUGAUGGACUGUCAGCAUUUGUGAUGGAUGAAGAUUCAGUCACUCUACACAGUAAUGUUGAAACAAAACAACAAGAAGAUAUAAAAUGGUAUUUUGAUGACACUAGAAUUGCUCAAAUCACUGGAGAUCUUAGUUUUAUCUGUACAGAUGUUCAGUGUAAUGAAGGUUCUGAGAGAUUCAGAGACAGACUGAAGCUGGAUCAUCAGACUGGAUCUCUGACCAUCACGAACAUCACAACCACAGACUCUGGAGAUUAUGAAUUAAAGAUCAUCAGCAGCA